rnacentral:rRNA from 1 species
UACGUAGGGGGCAAGCGUUGUCCGGAUUUAUUGGGCGUAAAGAGCGCGUAGGCGGUUUGGUAGGUCCGCUGUGAAAACUCGAGGCUCAACCUCGAGACGUCGGUGGAAACCGUUUGGCUAGAGUCCGGAAGAGGAGAGUGGAAUUCCCGGUGUAGCGGUGAAAUGCGCAGAUAUCGGGAAGAACACCCGUGGCGAAGGCGGCUCUCUGGGACGGUACUGACGCUGAGACGCGAAAGCGUGGGGAGCGAACAGG